rnacentral:piRNA from 1 species
AUUGCCCAAUAGUGCUUUACUCUUGGCCUC